GCAUCUGGAAGAGCAGUGCGGGAUGAGGGACUACAGUGAACUGGCUAUCUCCCUUGAUAUAUUUCCUCCCCACAAUCACAAUCAUUCAGAUAGAGUACAGCCCGGCGAUCAUUGUGAACAUUCUUAAAAUUCACUUCACAUAAAAGAAUCUCUUAAACAACGGAAAGCAGAGAAAGUUAUUGAAACAUAAUUGCACUCACUUAUUAGAGCUGCCCUUGUUGCUAUCAUCAACAAUCAUGCGCAAACGUUUCCUUUGGGGUCGGCUCAUGAUCUUGGAAAAGAUUUAGAGUGGUAUUUUAGACGUUUAAUCAAUAGUCAUAUUUAUUUAUUUUUCUAUAACGAUGGUUUUAAAUGGAGGAGUGAAUAAAGACCUCACCUUUGAUAUUAGAGCGAACACUCCAAGAGCUUCUUCUAAUGUAAAGAUGAUACUCGUCUUGAAAAUAAAAAAAAGAAAUAAUUUACGGCAUUAACAUGUUCAUAAAGAUAAAAGUUUAUGCCUUCUCCUAUUUCCUCGUCCCUCUUCAUGAUUCCUAUGAAAGAACCAAAUAAUUGACCAUCAAUUAGACCUUCAAACUCAAAUUUAAAAACACACAAAACACAAUUAACUUAAAAGAUAAGAAAGACUUUAAUACACCUGUAUCAGGAGGAAGAACUGCUAGAUUGGUUGAACUCGUCGUUGCGAACCUGGCAUGUACCCCAGCCGCCAGUUUCACUGCAAAUUUAGUGUCUUAGCGCCAAUUCCCUUACACUACUCCUUACCCUACUUCCCAAAUUACACCCACCUGUUUAGAAAUAACCCUAAUCCAUGAAAUAACAAUCAAUUAUAAAUCAAUUUUGCAUAAAAAUAAAUCCACUAACAAGAAUUUGCUCCAAAAUUACACUUGCAGACACACAUGCAUAUAACCAAAAUUGAAUCUGGCCAGAUUAAGGAAGUUAAGAGCCCUAACCCCAAUUGUAGAACAAUUUCAUAUCAAUUAUCAUAAUUCUAAGCAGUAUUAAUUCGGAAACAACGACAAAAAAUAGUAACCAUAAUCGAAACCAAAAGGUGAAACCCUACUGACCUGCAAUCCCGGCAGAGGCAGACGGUGGUGGCUCAUUGGUUCGCGCCAGGAGCAAAGCAAAGAGGCUAUGUAAUGUGUGGUGGAUUUUAUAGGACUGGAGGGGUUAGGGGAAGAUGAAGUGAAGCGGGCGUCUCUUUACUUUCUGCUGGAGAGGCUUAAAUGAUGGCAUUCAAUUAUGGUGAUGGUGAAAGACGACCAGAAGUUGGGAGAUAUGUUGGGAGAUCUUUUGAGUCAAGGUAAGGGUAGAGAUGGAACAAAAUGGUAAA
rnacentral:lncRNA from 1 species